GUACCAUUCCUAGCCCUUUCCAGGCAUUUGCAUUAUGUCUUAAGCAUGCCUGCUACUUUGUAAUACCUCUGUCAACGAAGAGAGGAAGCUGCCUUCUGUAAUCCAAAUGAGAAAGGAAAUGUUAUUAGAUGUCAUUACUGUCUAUCAUCUUGUUCAAAAAGGGGGAGGUGGGUCAUAUCAAGAGAAUCAGUCAUCAGGUCAUAGCCAAGGUGAUGGACCUCAAGACUUGUAUCUGCUCCAUGGACACCGUUUGAACAGUUAAUGAGGAAAGCCUUACCAUCUGAGGGUAGAAGAGGCCAGGAAAAGGCUGGGUGUCUGAUGGCAUCAGAUGCACCAUCUCUGGACUGCCUCCCUCUAGAUUCUUCAUGUGUGAGCAAAAUAAAACCUCUAAUUUGUUUAGCCCA